UGCCAGCCGCCGCGGUAAUACGUAGGUGGCAAGCGUUGUCCGGAUUUACUGGGCGUAAAGAGUGUGUAGGCGGAUAAUUAAGUCAGAUGUGAAAGCCCAGGGCUCAACCCUGGAGGUGCAUUUGAUACUGGUUAUCUAGAGUGCGGGAGAGGAGAGUGGAAUUCCUAGUGUAGCGGUGAAAUGCGUAGAGAUUAGGAAGAACACCAGUGGCGAAGGCGACUCUCUGGACCGUAACUGACGCUGAGGAACGAAAGCCAGGGGAGCGAAUGGGAUUAGAUA
rnacentral:rRNA from 1 species